GACGAACGCUGGCGGCGUGCCUAAUACAUGCAAGUUGAGCGAUGAAGAUUGGUGCUUGCACCAAUUUGAAGAGCAGCGAACGGGUGAGUAACGCGUGGGGAAUCUGCCUUUGAGCGGGGGACAACAUUUGGAAACGAAUGCUAAUACCGCAUAACAACUUUAAACAUAAGUUUUAAGUUUGAAAGAUGCAAUUGCAUCACUCAAAGAUGAUCCCGCGUUGUAUUAGCUAGUUGGUGAGGUAAAGGCUCACCAGGGCGAUGAUACAUAGCCGACCUGAGAGGGUGAUCGGCCACAUUGGGACUGAGACACGGCCCAAACUCCUACGGGAAGCAGCAGUAGGGAAUCUUCGGCAAUGGACGAAAGUCUGACCGAGCAACGCCGCGUGAGUGAAGAAGGUUUUCGGAUCGUAAAACUCUGUUGGUAGAGAAGAACGUUGGUGAGAGUGGAAAGCUCAUCAAGUGACGGUAACUACCCAGAAAGGGACGGCUAACUACGUG
rnacentral:rRNA from 1 species